CGACCUCACAUCAGGCGAGACAACCCGCUGAAUUUAAGCAUAUCACUAAGCGGAGGAAAAGAAACCAACAGGGAUUCCCUUAGUAGCGGCGAGCGAAACGGGACCUAGCCCAGCACCGAAUCCCUCGUCCUUGCCGGCGAUCGGGAAAUGUGGUGUAUGGGAGGUAACGUUCCCGAGAGUUUUGCGGUGGUGCAAGUCCCCCUGACAGGGGCUUGACCCAGAGUGGGUGCCAGGCCCGUCUCCGCCACUGCUCUCUCGGGAUGGAACCUCCCGUGAGUCGGGUUGCUGAGAGUGCAGCCCUAAUUGGGUGGUAAACUCCAUCUA
rnacentral:ncRNA from 1 species